UUGCUUGUGCCCUAGCUCCCCACACGGCGCCGAACUUCUUCUCCCCUCACCCCUCGCGCGCCGAAUCCCCCUCUUCCCCUCCCUCUCGCGACCCUCUUCUACCCAAAUCCACCGCCGGCUCUCCUCCUCCUCCCGCGGGCACCAGCUGUCGAGCUACGACCGCCGCAUCUUCUCUUCUCCGCCGAGCCGUGACCUCCUUCUUCGCUCUCCCUCGCAUGAGCACCCUCGGAUGCCGCCAACAUCUCCUCCUGGCCGGCACCCGAGCACCACCGACACUUACUGGCACUACCCUUUCUUUUCUGCUGCGCAACGCCAACUCUACGCUGAUUCUUCCGUCGCAGCCGCCUCUCACCGCCAAGCAGUGCCGCCGCCGGGGCAUCUCAUCGAACCGUGCCCUAAUUGAUCCAGCAAGUAGUUCUUCCUUGUAGGACUCUAUUGUGAGAUGGGCACUUCGACGUGAGAAUUGUUUUAACCUGAUCUACAAUGAAGGUAACAGGUAGAUGAGUCAUGGAUGCUUGGAGAGUCCCGGCUGCCAGUCCCACGUCACGCUCGAGGAUAAUUUCUUUUCAAUCUUAUUUCUGUUUGGUAGUAUACUGAUUUUGUGCAUUUUGUUUUCCAAUAAGUUGAUGUGGAUUUUGGAGUUUAGUCUGGUGGUUGCAGAUAUUUUUGUUAGUGUCGUUGUUGGUCUUAUGUUCGUAUUGUUUUGUGUUUUCCGCUGUGCGUGUUUACUUUCAGCCGUGUAUGCUUAUUAAACUACGUGGUUGUGUUUAUUUUGUUCCGACCGAGUGGGCUAAUGAUAAAAACUGCGUGGUUGUGUA